rnacentral:rRNA from 1 species
AUUGAACGCUGGCGGCAGGCCUAACACAUGCAAGUCGAGCGGAUGAGGGGUGCUUGCACCCCGAUUCAGCGGCGGACGGGUGAGUAAUGCCUAGGAAUCUGCCCGAUAGUGGGGGACAACGUUUCGAAAGGAACGCUAAUACCGCAUACGUCCUACGGGAGAAAGUGGGGGCUCUUCGGACCUCCCGGUAUCGGAUGAGCCUAGGUCGGGUUAGCUAGUUGGUGGGGUAAAUGCUCACCAAGGCGACGAUCCGUAACUGGUCUGAGAGGAUGAUCAGUCACACUGGAACUGAGACACGGUCCAGACUCCUACGGGAGGCAGCAGUGGGGAAUAUUGGACAAUGGGCGAAAGCCUGAUCCAGCCAUGCCGCGUGUGUGAAGAAGGUCUUCGGAUUGUAAAGCACUUUAAGUCGGGAGGAGGGGCGCUCGGUGAAUACCCAGGCGUCUUGACGUCACCGACAGAAUAAGCACCGGCAAACUCUGUGCCAGCAGCCGCAGUAACAC